CCUGGUCUUCUGGACAGACAACAGCAGGGCCUCUGUUUUCCCAUCUAGCAAAAGGGCUCCAUCAGUGGUUUUCAAACUGUGCUCCAAGGCACCCUGGGGCCAAGAAGAGUUUGCAACCACCCUGAAGAGAGGAUGUCCCCAAGGUCCUCCUGGGAUCCCACCCACCUCCCUGCCUCCCCUUCAGUCCUGGUCCACCCCUGAAAGGCAGGAUGUGGCUGCCAAAGGUAGG
rnacentral:lncRNA from 1 species